rnacentral:rRNA from 1 species
UACGUAGGGGGCUAGCGUUGUCCGGAUUUAUUGGGCGUAAAGAGCGUGUAGGCGGCCAGGUAGGUCUGGUGUGAAAACUCGAGGCUUAACCUCGAGAUGUCAUCGGAAACCAUCUGGCUAGAGUCCGGAAGAGGAGAGUGGAAUUCCUGGUGUAGCGGUGAAAUGCGCAGAUAUCAGGAAGAACACCAAUGGCGAAAGCAGCUCUCUGGGACGGUACUGACGCUGAGGCGCGAAAGCCAGGGGAGCGAACGGG